rnacentral:rRNA from 1 species
CACGUAGGGGACGAGCGUUGUCCGGAUUCAUUGGGCGUAAAGCGCGCGUAGGCGCCCGGAAAGUCGGAUGUGAAAACCUGGGGCUCAACCCCAGGCGUGCACCCGAUACUCCCGGGCUGGAGGCAGGUAGGGGAGAUCGGAAUUCCUGGUGUAGCGGUGAAAUGCGCAGAUAUCAGGAGGAACACCGGUGGCGAAGGCGGAUCUCUGG